rnacentral:rRNA from 1 species
GAUGAACGCUGGCGGCGUGCUUAACACAUGCAAGUCGAACGGAAAGGCCCUACUUUUGUUGGGUUCUCGAUUGGCGAACGGGUGAGUAACACGUGAGUAACCUGCCCUUGACUUUGUGAUAACUUCAGGAAACUGGGGCUAAUACCGGAUAGGAGCUCCUGCUGCAUGUUGGUGGUUGGAGAGAUUCGGCGGUGGUGUAUGGACUCGCUGCUUAUCAGCUUGUUGGUGGGGUAGUGGCUGUCCAAGGCUUUGACGGGUAGCCGGCCUGAGAGGGUGAACGGCCACAAUGGGACUGAGAGAAGGCCCAGAAUGCUACGGGCAGCAGCAGUGGGGAAUAUUGCACAAUGGGCGGAAGCCUGAUGCAGCAACGCCGCGUGCGGGAUGACGGCCUUCGGGUUGUAAACAGAUUUCGCCUGUGACGAAGAGUGUGUGACGGUAAUGGGUAAAGAAGCACCGGCUAACUACGUG